rnacentral:rRNA from 1 species
CGCGUAGGUGGUUGCGUAAGUCGGAUGUGAAGUCCUGAGGCUUAACCUCAGAACUGCAUCUGAUACUGCGUGACUCGAGUGCAGCAGAGGGAAACGGAAUUCCUGGUGUAGAGGUGAAAUUCGUAGAUAUCAGGAGGAACACCGGUGGCGAAGGCGGUUUCCUGGGCUGACACUGACACUGAGGCGCGAAAGCGUGGGUAGCAAACAGGAUUAGAUACCCUGGUAGUCCACGCUGUAAACGGUGAGUACUGGGUGUGGGAGGUGUAAUGCCUUCUGUGCCGAAGCUAACGCGUUAAGUACUCCGCCUGGGGAGUACGGCCGCAAGGUUGAA